rnacentral:rRNA from 1 species
AUUGAACGCUGGCGGAAUGCUUUACACAUGCAAGUCGAACGGCAGCACGGACUUCGGUCUGGUGGCGAGUGGCGAACGGGUGAGUAAUAUAUCGGAACGUGCCCAGUCGUGGGGGAUAACGUAGCGAAAGUUACGCUGAUACCGCAUACGAUCUAAGGAUGAAAGCGGGGGAUCGCAAGACCUCGCGCGAUUGGAGCGGCCGAUAUCAGAUUAGGUAGUUGGUGGGGUAAAGGCUCACCAAGCCAACGAUCUGUAGCUGGUCUGAGAGGACGACCAGCCACACUGGAACUGAGACACGGUCCAGACUCCUACGGGAGGCAGCAGUGGGGAAUUUUGGACAAUGGACGCAAGUCUGAUCCAGCCAUUCCGCGUGCAGGAUGAAGGCCCUCGGGUUGUAAACUGCUUUUGUACGGAACGAAAAGGUCUCUCUUAAUACGGGGGGCUCAUGAUGGUACCGUAAGAAUAAGCACCGGCUAACUACGUGCCAGCCGCCGCCGUAA